UACGUAGGGUGCGAGCGUUAAUCGGAAUUACUGGGCGUAAAGCGUGCGCAGGCGGUUGUGCAAGACAGAUGUGAAAUCCCCGGGCUUAACCUGGGAAUUGCAUUUGUGACUGCACGGCUAGAGUGUGUCAGAGGGGGGUGGAAUUCCACGUGUAGCAGUGAAAUGCGUAGAGAUGUGGAGGAACACCGAUGGCGAAGGCAGCCCCCUGGGCCGACACUGACGCUCAGGCACGAAAGCGUGGGGAGCAAACAGG
rnacentral:rRNA from 1 species